CCUACGGGUGGCAGCAGUGAGGAAUAUUGGUCAAUGGGCGCGAGCCUGAACCAGCCAAGUAGCGUGAAGGAUGACUGCCCUACGGGUUGUAAACUUCUUUUAUAAAGGAAUAAAGUGAGGCACGUGUGCCUUUUUGUAUGUACUUUAUGAAUAAGGAUCGGCUAACUCCGUGUCAGCAGCCGCGGUAAUACGUAGGUUGCGAGCGUUAUCCGGAUUUAUUGGGCGUAAAGGGUGCGUAGAGGGCCUGCUAAGUCUGUAGUGAAAGUGUCCGGAUCAACCGGGACAAGGCUUUGGAAACUGGCGGGCUAGAGGACAGGAGAGGGAGGUGGAAGUCGAGGUGUAGCGGUAAAAUGCGUAGAUAUAAGGAAGAACACCAGUGGCGAAGGCGGCCGCCUGGACUGUCACUGACGCUGAGGCACGAAAGCGUGGGGAGCAAAUAGGAUUAGAUACCCGUGUAGUC
rnacentral:rRNA from 1 species